rnacentral:lncRNA from 1 species
GACCUCACUCUCUUGCUGGUCAGAGGCAACGAAUUCAUGGAGCAAUCCAAGUCCAUUGUGAUGUCCCUACAACAACAACAACAACAACAACAACAACAACAAUAAGAAGAAGAAGAAGAAGAAGAAGAAGAAGGCAUCCCUACAAUCGUAGCCAGGUUUAGGUCUCCUCACUCGCCCUCGUCUCCCGAGUCUGAAAUCA